rnacentral:lncRNA from 1 species
CCCAGGUGAAAUAAACAGCCAUGUUGCUCACACAAAGCCUGUUUGGUGGUCUCUUCACACGGACGCACAUGAAAUUUGGUGCCGUGACUCAGAUCGGGGGACCUCCCUUGGGAGAUCAAUCCCCUGUCCUCCUGCUCUUUGCGAAAGAUCCACCUACGACCUCAGGUCCUCGGACCGACCAGCCCAAGAAACAUCUCACCAAUUUCAAAUCCGUGCUGCUUGACCCCAAUACAAACUCGACAGUAGUUCCAAAUAGCCGGAAAAUGGCACUUUCAAUUUUUCCAUCCUACAAGAUCUAAAUAAUUCUUGUCGUACAAUGGGCAAAUGGUCUGAGGUGCCUGACAUCCAGGCAUUCUUUUACACAUCGGUCCCUCUCUAGUCUCUGUUCCCAAUGCAACUCGUCCCAAAUCUUCCUCCUUUCCCUCCCGCCUGUCCCCUCAGUCCCAACCCCAAGCGUCGCUGAGUCUUUCUAAUCUUCCUUUUCUACAGACUCAUCUGACCUCUCCCCUCCUCCCCAGGCUGCUCCUCGCCAGGCCGAGCUAGGUCCCAAUUCUUUCUCAGCCUCCGCUCCUCCACCCUAUAAUCCUUUUAUCACCUCCCCUCCUCACACACAGUCUGGCUUACAGUUUCGUUCCGUGACUAGCCCUCCCCACCUGCCCAGCAAUUUACUCUUAAAAAGGUGGCUGGAGCUAAAGGCAUAGUCAAGGUUAAUGCUCCUUUUUCUUUAUCCCAAAUCGGAUAGCGUUUAGGCUCUUUUUCAUCAAAUAUAAAAAUCCAGCCCAGUUCAUGGCUCGUUUGGCAGCAACCCUGAGACGCUUUACAGCCCUAGACCCUAAAAGUUCAAAAGGCCGUCUUAUUCUCAAAAUACACUUUAUUACCCAAUCUGCUCCCGACAUUAAAGAAAACUCCAAAAAUUAAAUUCCAGCCCUCAAACCCCACAACAGGAUUUAAUUAACCUCGCCUUCAAGGUGUACAAUAAUAGAGAAAAGUUGCAAUUCCUUGCCUCCACUGUGAGACAAACCCCAGCCACAUCUCCAGCACACAAGAACUUCCAAACGCCUGAACCGCAGCAGCCAGGCGUUCCUCCAGAACCUCCUCCCCCAGGAGCUUGCUACAAGUGCCAGAAAUCUGGCCACCAGGCCAAGGAAUGCCUGCAGCCCAGGAUUCCUCCUAAGCUGAGUCCCAUCUGUGCGGGACCCCACUGGAAAUCGGACUGUCUAACUCACCUGGCAGCCACUCCCAGCGCCCCUGGAAUUCUGGCCCAAGGCUCUCUGACUGCUUCCCACAUCUUCUUGGCUUAGCGGCUGAAGACUGAUGCUGCCCGAUCGCCUCGGAAGCCCCCUACAAGACCAUCACGGAUGCCGAGCUUCGCGUAACUCUCACAGUGGAGGGUACACAUCCAGAUGGCCGGUUCCUGCCUUAACUGAUGACAUUCUACCACAAAAGAAGUGAAAAUGGCCUGUUCCUGCCUUAACUGAUGACAUUGCCUUGUGAAAUUCCUUCUCCUAGCUCAUCCUGGCUCAAAAGCUCCCCUACUGAGCACCUUGUGACCCCUACUCUGCCCGCCAGAGAACAAACCAACCCCUCUUUGACUGUAAUUUUCCUUUACCUACCCAAAUCCUAUAAAACGGCCCCACCCCUAUCUCCCUUCGCUGACUCUCUUUUCG